GACGAACGCUGGCGGCGUGCUUAACACACGCAAGUCGAACGGAAAGGCCCUGCUUUUGUGGGGUGCUCGAGUGGCGAACGGGUGAGUAACACGUGAGUAACCUGCCCUUGACUUUGGGAUAACUUCAGGAAACUGGGGCUAAUACCGGAUAGGAGCUCCUGCUGCAUGGUGGGGGUUGGAAAGUUUCGGCGGUUGGGGAUGGACUCGCGGCUUAUCAGCUUGUUGGUGGGGUAGUGGCUUACCAAGGCUUUGACGGGUAGCCGGCCUGAGAGGGUGGCCGGCCACAUUGGGACUGAGAUACGGCCCAGACUCCUACGGGAGGCAGCAGUGGGGAAUAUUGCACAAUGGGCGGAAGCCUGAUGCAGCAACGCCGCGUGCGGGAUGACGGCCUUCGGGUUGUAAACUGCUUUCGCCUGUGACGAAGCGUGAGUGACGGUAAUGGGUAAAGAAGCACCGGCUAACUACGUG
rnacentral:rRNA from 1 species